AACAUUUUCUGUAAACUGAUAAAGGUAAUGAACUUAAUUUUCAAUGCGGAACCAGGUACAUUGCAGUAUAUGGUGUAAAAUUACAAUUUAUGUUAAUAUGUUUAAACGAAAUAAUUAUUAUUUGAGGCUAGGCAUUGAACAAUUAACAGGUAAAGUGAAUUGUUAUCAAUAUAUUUUUUCUAAGUGUUAAUUGGAUGGAUUAUUGUAGGAUUAUCGUCCAGUUGCAAGUAUAUAUAACGUUCAUAUUCAGGAAGGAAAUAUCGUAAAUAUGAGUCCUGCUUUGUAGUAACAUAAUUAUCUUUAAGAUUAUAGUCCCCCGUUAAGUAUUCUACGAUUGAUAUUUAUUGUAUACAUAUUGAGCCUCGGUUUCGGUUGGCGACUAUACGUUUAUAAUAAAAGUAAAAUAACAAAAAUAUCGAACCACAAAAAGGAUUAAAUUUUAAACGGAAAGUCCUAAAUAAAACUGAAAAAUCAAAACCACAAACACAUCUAACGAAUGGCAAACAACUGUCCUAUUCCUGACUAGUUACAAGCAUUUUGUUAUGUAGAUGUUCCGGACCAUAUGAGUAUUUGGACCAUACGCGUAUGGUCAUGCCCAUAUGGGUAUAUACUCAUAUGGUCCGACCGUACGCGUAUGGUCGGGGUAAUUAACACUCUGUUACAGUUGACUUUUGAUACUUCUAAACUCGAUCAUUAAAAAGACGCUAUCAUAUAUAUUUAUUAGAUGAUUUUAUUAUAAUAUUAUAAUAAAACGAUUAGCUAAAUAAAAAAUUAGAAGUUUCACACAGUUAAUUUUACUUGCUUGUCACUGAAAACUAUAUUAAACAUAUUUUAUACCGAUGGUCAUUACCGAUGGCCAUUACCGAUUUGUUAUUACGAGUGAAUGGCAAUAUGUCGACUUAAAAAAAUAAAUUCCAAAAAAUUUCUUAAUGAACUUUUUCACAAGAAGUCAUUGGAAAGUAACAUAGUUUAUUUAAGUUAUCUUGUGAGUAUGGUGUAUUGCAGUCAUGCUACGAUAUUUGAGAUCUAGAGCUUCUUAAAAAACACCAUAGACAUAUCGGAAUGGCCCAAGACCUCGUUAUCAAUGUACGCAGCUACAAAAAGGUUAGCUUUUCACUCGCAAACAAAAGGUGCAAAAUGAAAAGGAUCGUGCACAACCAAGACUUGCAAAUGCAAAAAAGCUAUGAUACCGUGUGGAAGUAAAUAUCACCCCAAGCCUGUAUGCAAGAAUGUAAUUAGCGAUGAAAACUACCUAUGGCAUCAAUAUUUAAUUUUUACGUAUUAUUUAAAUUAUAAAAAUAAUACAUCGUGAUCUAACCAUCAUUCUUUUUUUUAGAUAAAGUUUUUGUAUUAUUGAAACUUUGAUAAUGUAAUUUAAAACAAAAUACCUGUAUGGUCCCAAUACUCAUAUGGUCCGGCCCGUUAAUAACCAAACGAGUAUUAUAUUCAUAUGGUCCGACCAUAUGAGUAUACGCAUAUGGUCAUGACCAUACGCGUAUGCAUAUGGUCAUGACCAUACGCGUAUGGUCCAAAUACUCAUAUGGUCCGGAACAUAGACAUUAGUCAAAUUAAACACGGUUUUAAAGCUAGCUAAGCCUUUCAUUUGUAUGACAGUCGCAUAGAAUUCCAUUACAUAUUUGUCAGAAAAACAAAACAGACAUAAUAGGUAAAAACGUCAACAUUUGUUUCGACAAAGAAACACAAAAUGACAUUAGACAAAGAACAUAUUAAGCACAAAUGAAAGGCAUAACUCAAAAUUGACCAUAGCACAAUAACGCAAUGGCGGAAUGUAAAGUGUCGAUUCACGUCAUUAGUAUAUUUUCAAAUAUGUAUUAACAGUAAAGGUUGAAAAUAAACAACGUUGGUACCUAGAAUAUAUACGUUAAGAGCAUCACGUUGUAUUUGUGAAGUUUAUACGGAAUACUUAUCAACAAGAUCUUUGUUCUAGAGGAUAUAUUAAUAAAACCCAAUAAGAACAGUUUGGAUUGUUAAUGGAAUGCAUAUGAAAUUGAAAAGUGUUUAAAACUAGGACUAGGUUCUACUUUUGUGUACCCUUCUGAGGGGAAGGAAUUUGGUGUUUUUAGGACACUGAUAUUGGAUUAAUGAUAAAAAAAAUCUUAUUUUAUUUGUAGAAAAUUGAAGAUUUUUAAGAUUGUACAUGAUUCUUUCUUCUUUGUAGAUGUACAAAUCGCCGUAGGAUGGUCCACCAAAUAAAAACGCAUAACACACCACAAAUACACCAAGUCUUAAAUAUGUAUAUAACGUUGAUACUGAAAGUAAUGCUUUAAUCAAAUAAUUGUUUUCAUUUAUGGAAACUCGGCGGCGUCCUCGGAGAAUUCUCGUUGUUGAUGUGUUUUAAAAAUGUAUCUUUUUUUUACAAAUGUUUAUACAAUCUUCAAACUACUAGAUAUUUGAAAUAGAUAUAGUCUAUUUAUGCAGCCGAAAUAUUUGUCAACACGAUUUUAUAACAUUAUCUUCGUAUAAAAGAAUCUUAUAUAAGUACCGUAGCGUAAAUCUUUCGACUUAAAUUAGUCUUUUAUAAUUUUUUCCUUAUGUGCGCAGUAUCGUCAUUUCGAGACGACCCGAUUCAUAUUAAGUUUGCUGGAUGGUCCUUUUUAUAGACUUCUAUAUAUAUAUAUAUUAUUGUGAAGCCCAGGUGGUCGUGUGGUCUAGCGGGACGGCUAUAGUGCAGGCGAUUUGGUGUCACGAUAUCUCAGUAGUAUGGGUUCGAAUCCCGGUGAGGGAAGAACAAAAAAUUUGCGAAAGCAAAUUUACAGAUCUAACAUUGUUGGGUUGAUGUUUAGACGAGUUAUUAUACAUCCAAUUCCAGUGCUCCAAAAAUAAACUUCUUUCCCUCAGUAAGGUACACAAAAGUAGAACCUAAUCCUAGUAACUUUGAACACUUUUUCCCCAAAAUUUUCUCAGUCCUGGUUUGGCAUCUAGUUCGGGUACGAGUUUGACCAAUAUCUGGAUCCGCAGUCUCGAUUGAAUCGGGUUUCAGAAAUUACCUUAUCAAAUACACUGUAAAAAAGUAACGCGAAAUCCCAUAAUCCAAAUUCUUGAACGUAUUUACAAAUUUUAAAGAACACAUAUUUUUAUUUUUUUAAUCUAUUUCUUUGGAUAUUUUCAACUUUAAUCAGGGAAUCAUCGAUGUUAAUCUUUGAAUUUAAAAGAUUGAUGUCGACAAUUUGAAAAAUAAAAAAAAUAAAAAAAGAUGACCCUCAUACGCUUCCGUAUUUUUUAUUUUUUUUAACAAAUAUUUCUUUUUUUAUAAACAAUUAUAUGGUUUUAUGAACAUAUGUACAUUUACAAGAAAUAUUUUAUUUGUAAACAAUUAUUUAUGUUUUAUGCAUAUAUAUUAUAUUUUAUGAACAUGAACACAUACAUAGUUUUUGAAUAAAUAUUUUGUUUAAACAGAUAUUUUAAAAACAAUCAGUUUUACAAAAUUUAUGAACAUACAUAUAUAUUACAUAUAGUGUAGCAUUCUUCUGUUUUCAUUGAAUAUUACGAUCACGUGUUUCAAAUUAUAUUUCAUUUAUCUGAAGCCUUUUGUGAAGUCGUGUCUAUUUCUAUGUAUAUUGAGUGCAUUUCUUUCAACCAGAAUUUUGUAAACGUUGUGUGGCGUUUGUUGUUGUUUUCUAAACGCUACAAAAGUAGAAAAAAAAAUACAUCGCUUAAUCAGUUAUGGAAUUACCGUUCACAGAUGAUAUCAGAUAUGUUCCUAACGUCGUAACUACAAUCCCCUCAGUUCCCUUUUAAUGAAUGUGACCUACCGAAUUAGACUAUUUACCGGGUUUGUAAUAACAUGUCGAGCAAAAUGACGGGUGCUACAUGUGGAUCAGGAUCUGCUUACCCUUCAUGAGCACCUGAGAAAACCCCCAGUUUUUGUAGGGGUUCGUGUUGCUCAGUCUUUUGUUUUCUAUGUUGUUUUUUGUGUACUAUUAUUUGUCUGUUUGUCUUUUUCAUUUUGAGUCAUGACGUGGUCGGUUUAUUUUCGAUUUAUGAGUUUGACUGUCCCUCUGGUAUCUUUCUCCCCUCUUUUGUUAGUCAUACCUCUUUGGCUCAAUCUACCCUGAUCAGUUAAGAUAGCAUGUUCCAGUACUAUUAUAACUAUACGCAAUUCUUUGGUAAAAGAAAAGUCUGAAAACUUUUUCACGGACAUCAGGAAAAAUCUUUAUACACGUGUAUUUGCAUAAAACAUCUAAAACAUCCAUUAUAAAAUUUGUAACUGAUUUAAAAGAUAUCAGUACGGACAAAGAAAUGUCCUGCCUUUUUAAUCAGUUACAAAUCAUUAAUGAUAUAGUCAAACUAAUAUUGUAUUCUAAUUCUUUUCCGCACUUAUCUGCAUAAAUACUUCUCUUACUAACAAUUGCUUUAAGUUAUUUUUUUUUAAAUUUAUUGUGGGCAAUGCUAUUUUUUCAGUCCUCUAUAAGAUGAGGAACUUUAAUGUUAUGUUGACAUGUGACAACCUUAUGACAGACGUUCUCCAAAGAACAACACGUGGUUAUACAGGGCUAACACCAUAAUAUCUCAAAUUUCCCAGCAAUGAAAGAUCUUCAAAUCUACGUAAGAAAAUUUGUGUUCUUCCCUCAGCGGGGAAUCCUUGCCUAUAUGACAUCCGUGGCAUCACCACCUUUACCGUGUCCAGCUCCAUCGACCACCUAGGCCGUAUACAAAUAGAGUUUUCAGUGGUCGAUGUAAUGCCUUUUCUCGUUGGCUUUAUCUAAGGUUGGAACAUAGUACAAGGUGUAAUAGACGGUUAACCUAUCAGAUCAGUUUGUCUGUCGUAAAGGAUGAUAAUGUUAAUUACCAUAAAACUAAAAUUUGAUGCUGUGGCAUAGUAUUUUAAAAAGGAGGACGAAAGAUACUAGAGUUACAGUCAAACUCAAAACAUUAUCAUCCUUUACGACUGACGAAAUAGCUGAUAUGGAAGGUAUAUCAUCUACUUUCCACUAUACAACAUUGCCAUCAUGUACUGUGUUAUAACCCUAGAUACAUAUAUACGAGUAGUUCCCCCAGAGGGCAUUUAUAAAAAAAACAAAGAAUGGGUCACUCAUUUUCUCUACCAUCAAAAGAUUUAUUUGACAUCUUACUUAUGAAGGAUAUAAGUUAUCCGAAAUAUUUAACAUUUGUUCAAGAAUAUAUUUUUUUCUUUAGAUUCGUUAUAUAUAUGAAUAUAUUUAUAAGUCUAGAUACUUGCGCAGCGGUACUAAUAUAAGAUGUUAAAAUACGAAGAUGAUUUUAUAAAAUCUUGUUAAUAGAUAAUCCGGCUGAACAAAUAGCCUUCGUCACUGUCAAUAAUUUUAAUAAUUCUGUAUAUAUAUUUUGGAAUAACUGUUAAAUUUUAAAAUGGACUUCCUCCAAUACAAUCAUGAUUUCACCUUGCAAGAAAACAUACCUGUGAGUAAUUCGAGAUUUUCCUUUUACUUAAUUCGGUUACUAGCAAUACAGGACAUAAUAUGAUUUAUCAUUGACCUUUUUAUUCAAUGAAGCAUUUAAAAUUUGUAAUGAAAUGGUUAGACUGUUAAAAUUACAAAAACAUCUAUACAGUCUGAAAUAGACUUUGUUAAAGAAAAUCACAAAAGAAAAAUAGUCUAUAUGAUAAAUACUUCCCUGUGUUGUAGAAAUUUAUUCCAUAUGGAAUGACAGUUCAUUGACCAAAUAAGUAAGAUGAAUGUAAGUAUGAAAUAUAAUAUUUAAUACUCUAACUAAACAAUUAAGCACAGAAAUCAAAUUGAUUAGUCUGAUUAAUAGAAAAAGGUUUGCUUUUUAUUAAUCAAUUAUAUAAGUCCUCAUUUAUUUCAAAGUACACAAUUUGUAUAAGGUUAAUAUCUAAACAUUGCUCAAUCUUCAAGUACUUGACGAAAACCUGACAAGCGCAGAUGUCUUAUUUAAACUCUUCAUUUAAAAAGAAUUGAAAUAGUACAGGUUGCUGAUUUUGCCUUUAAAUUUAAGUUAUAUUUUUAGGAUUAUGUACCCUUGUGUUGAUUCAAUGCUAAACAUAUGGAAAUUUUAUAGAAAAUCCACAGCCUUUAUCCUUAUACUCUCAUAUUUGGCAAUUUGAUGACUGAUAGAUAUAAGAUUAUUGCACGCAGUGCUAGUAUUGUUUUCCUUAAAACAAGUUUAUUAAUAUAGUUAUUGGUUAAAGCAAAUAAAAAUAUGGACCAAAUCAAGUACGCCUUAUAGGGUGUGCUCGACUUUAGUGACUCAGCACGAGGUAUUUUGGAAUUUACAGGUUUGUUAGAACUUUUGUAAAAAAUAAACACUAGCACAUCAUAGAAAGGCAAUUGAGAAAUCUAUGUUUCAAAUUUUAUAACAAAAAUAUCUGUAUUUAAGGCUGUGGAUUUUCUAUAAAAAUCUUGGUUUAUUUGCCACAAAGUAUUCUUUUUCUAUUAAAUGUAAUGUAAAGUAAAUAAUAAUACUUUGCAUCAAGUUUCCCCUUGGUAUAUGUACAAAAUGGCCUAUCUCUAUUAUUCAUUAUAUCUGUAGUUAUGAUACAAUUGAAGUUUGAAAACUUAGUACAAAAAUGGCUACAGAAGGGGUCAUAAACCUUAAAGUAAUAUGUUAUAAUAUUUAAGAGGAAUGUCAUCAUUUUUUUCUCUCUCUUGGAAUUAAAAUUUAAUAAUUUUUUAAGACAUUACAGGCGAUAUUUUUAUUUCCAGAGUUUUUCUAGUGUACUAUAGUAUAUAUAUCGAUAAACAGUGACACCGAAAAUUUACUAUAAAAUAAGUCUGGUUCAAUCAUAGAUGUCGGGGUCGAAGUUAACUUUGUGCAGGAUAGGUUUUGAAAUUAAAUUUGGUUCAAGACGUCGCGUAAUGUGUUGGUGUUAGUUUUUGUCACGUUAGUUUGACGUUAUUUUUCAUGCAUUGUAUAAAUAACGUCGUACUUUUUUAAUUUCGUGCAGCUCAAUCAUACAGCAUAAUUUAUAUGAGCGGUAUGCUUGACUUGCUAUGUAUAGAACCGAAAUGCAAAAGCGGCACAUAUUUUUUUAAGUACAGUUAAAUUAAAACAGAAAAAUAAUAUUCAUUUAAAUUAGUAUCCCCUUGGAGCAAAGAUUUUUUUUUUUAUUGAAACAGGAUAUUUAAAAAAAAAAGUUUAAACCCCUGUCUUUUCUGCUGCUUUUUCUUUUAGUUUAAACAUAUUUAUUUAUAGUGGAUUGGGAAACAAGUAUUACAACUUAUAUUAAUCCGUUUCCACUUUGAGGGUGCGAGUGCUUUCUUGUAGCCUUAGCCUGCUCUUUUCGAAAUCUAAAAGGAUGACUUUUACGUGCAAGAAAUACUGCUCUCUCUUAACAUGGGUCAUACAUUUAUCGCCCCCUUCCGACGGACUAUCAUUGUUUCACAAGACCAUCAUACUCGUAAAUGGUGUCAAGGGCUUAUUCUUUUAUUCGCUUUUGAUAAUUUCCGAAUAAAAAUUUUAUUAGUUGAAUCGUUUGUUUCACCGCCUGUAUUAAAUGUUAAAAGAAUCAACAGUUGAAAGCAAAUUCAAAGGAGAAGGUCCGGUAAGACCACUUUUUGGCCUCAAAAUAUAGCAGUUUUACCAAAUUGUUAAAAUGUAAACUUUUAGUUAUUUAUUGGACAGUAGAAUGCUUCUGCUACAUAAAUAUGGGCUGUUUUUGACAAUACAAUGACAUAUAUCGAGUACUAGCACCAUUAAGUCAUGCUAAAUUACUGAAAUCUUCACAAUUCUAUCAUUUUAGUUAAAUUUUAGACGGUUUUCGUUUAAAUCGAAAGUGGCCGCAUUCGUGUUCAUCCUUAAUAUUGGAAUGAGAGUUGUAUUUUAUGAUAAUACAUAACAUAUAUAAAGGUUUAGGAUGAACACGGAUGCGGCCACUUUCAUUUUUGAUAAAAACCAUCUGAAAAGUGACAUUUUUCAACAAAUUUGGUAGAUUUUUCAUUUUGAGCAUGAAUCGGAUCGUUUUUAAUGACUAAGUCAGUUAAAAUCUUUCACAAAAACUAACUGAAUCAAAUGAAAUAGACACUUAAGGGUUUAAAAAGAGGUCAAAAUCUUUCGUCAGAUGAACCUGAAAUUUGAGGCCAAAAUCGGUCCUUACCGGACCUACUCCUUAACCUUAAUAAAGUUAUUUUAAUCAAAUUUGCCAAUUUCAUAAACAAAAGGAAAUUUAAUCUCACCUAUGAACAAGAAAACAGAUGGGCGCAGAUAAUUUUAGCGAAAAACUACUAGGGGACAUUUUAGCGCUCUACAUUAGAGUCAAUUUUAGCGCAGGAUUAAUCCGUUCAGCUGUAUUUUCGAUAGCCCAUUUUAGCGAAAACUUUCCUAGUUGAAUAAUACUAAAACCACGAGCAUUAAUUUAUGCUGGCUUAAUAUGAAAGUUGUAUAUAUAUAAAUGUUCACUUUGGUUCAUCAUGGAAAAGUCAUUCAGCUAUUUACGUUUUUCUUGAUACUAUCAUUAAAUUGCAAACAAACAACAUAUAUAAAAAUACAAUUAUAGACGAAUGUGCACCACAAUCUAGACAAGAUAAAGAGAAAAAUCAGUUCUAUUAUAAUCGUUCGUUCUAAGACACCAGGUCCCAUGUACUGAAUAGAUAACGUUCAAACUAGGCCCCCAAACUGCCUCAAAUAAUAGAUAAAAGGGGAGGGAGAGGGGUUUAGAAACAUUAAACCUGUUAAGGAAGUUCUGAAUAAGCAUCAAUGACAAUUUGUCACUGGACGUCAGAUAAACAAUGAAUCAAUACACACAAAAAUGCGCCAAUUUGGGUUACGCAAUGUAUCAAUCAAUCUCAUUAUUAUACAUGUAAUUAAAUCAUACUAUUGGUAGAGAAAUUCACAAUUUGUUAUAUCAAAUUGACAAUUUGUUAUUUCUAAUUGAUAAUUUGUUAUAUUAAAUUGAUAAUCUGUUAUAUCAAAUUGACAAUUUGUUAUACCUAAUUGAUAAUCUGUUAUACCAAAUUGAUAAUUUGUUAUAUUAAAUUCAUAUUUGUUAUAUCAAAUUCAUAAUCUGUUAUGUCAAAUUCAUAAUUCGUCAUAUCAAAUUGGAAAAAGUUGAUUAGCAUGGCACGUAAAGGCUUCCGUAAUUUGCGACUUUAGGCACUACAUGUAAAGUUUUACAGAACGUAACGUCAAAACAAGUAAAUUAGCAUGGUGUGACAUUAUGACUAGACAAAAAUGGUGUGACAUUAUGACUAGACAAAAGUAGUCACUGAUUGCAUAUUUUGGCGUUAAUAUUGAGUCACUGAUAAGGUCUUUGCAUCGGAACUAAACACAUUUAUUCUAAAAACAGUUGUUGGCAUGACACGGGUUAUGUUCUUCUCAUAUAUGUUAUGAUGGUAUAUACUAAACCCCUAACGGGAAGAUUGUGCCUGAUGUUCAUAUGAUGAAAUCAUAAUCUUUCAGUCAGUUUAAUUGAAGUCUGGACUGGCAUGUCAGUUAAAUGCUAGUAGGUCUGUUGUUAUUUAUGUAUUAUGUCAUUUUGUUUAUUUUUCUUUGGUUACAUCUUCUGACAUCAGACUCGGAUUUCUCUUGAACUGAAUUUUAAUGUGCGUAUUGUUAUGCGUUUACUUUACUACAUUGGUUAGAGGUAUAGGGGGAGGGUUGAGAUCUCACAAACAUGUUUAACCCCGCCGCAUUUGUGCGCCUGUCCCAAGUCAGGAGCCUCUGGCCUUUGUUAGUCUUGUAUUAUUUUAAUUUUAGUUUCUUGUGUACAAUUUGGAAAUAAGUAUGGCGUUCAUUAUCACUGGACUAGUAUAUAUUUGUUUAGGGCCAGCUGAAGGACGCCUCCGGGUGCAGGAAUUUUCUCGCUACAUUGAAGACCUGUUGUGACCCUUCUGCUGUUGUUUUUUAUUUGGUCGGGUUGUUGUCUCUUUGACACAUUCCCCAUUUCCAUUCUCAAUUUUACUGACUGUGUCGUUAAUUCUUCCGACAUGUGAUCGAAAAUGGGUUCAAAAAAAUCCCUGAACAGUAGAUUUUAAUGAUAUAUAGUAUUUUUGUGCUUUAUUUAAUUUAAAAUUUUCCCCCUCCAAAACUGUUAUAAUAUGACUUAUCAUACUUGUAACAAAACUGUAAAAAAACCGGCGUUUUUGGACAUUUUGACUAGACAAAAACCAAAAGAUCGCAUUUAUUUUUUUUUCAAUAUUUUCUCUUAAAACUUCGACACAAAUUUUUUUCAUACACUUAAAAAAAUAGUUUUCACGUUUGAAUAAAAUUUCUUAUCGUAGAAAAGACUGUAACUGCCUAUUACUUUUCAUAAGACACUUAACAAAUUUGCCAAAACGUCAGAAAACGGCGAGUGUGACAUUUCAACGGAUUUAAUAAAAUGAACAAUUUAGGACAUAAUUUAUACAAUACUUACUAAUUGAAGACAUAGAAAGUUAUAUAUUUAUUGUAUAAAUUUGACACAGGAAGGGUGGAUAUGUAAAUUGUGGUUUGGAUCUGCAGCAUUGGUUCGAAUUUUCAGGAGCUCCAAAAAAUAUGCGAGAUUUGGGUUUUGUGACAGAAAUACAAAUUUCCAAAAAUCAUUAAUUCUGACACGAUCUUUUGAUAUGUUGUAACAAAACUUUUUAUUUUUUUCCCUUAUAUACGGAAUAUAAAAGAUUAUCAUUUUCGGAAUAAUCUAUUUGAAUUACCUUUUAAAAUCACUCUUAACUUCACCCCUAUUCAUAUUUUUUUUUCGAUUUUCGGCUUGACCACAAAACAAAGUGAACUUUUCGUCCUGGUCAGACGCAUCCAGUUAACGAUGACGUCAUAAAUAAAACAUACACUAUUAACACCAAAGACUACUCUUGCUUGGAGUACAACUUUUUUUUAAUAAGUUUAAAAAAUGACAAGAAUAACUUCAAAGCAACGCUGAUCAUAUGUUGCGGUUUACUUGUCUACACGCUCAAAUCAGGUUAUGAGGGAUCAUUCGAGUAACAAAAUGAAUAAAAGUAUUGAUUUUAAGGCCUAUUCCAUUUCUACUUUUAAUUACGCACAUUUUGAUAUAUACAUUUAUAUAGUUAUCAAUUCCGAAACUUCUAACAAAUGCAAUAAAGGUUAACUGGAAAGCAAAACCCGUAUUAUCACCAACACCGUACGCGACGUCGAAGCGAACCUGUUUGCUUUUUAUGUUAAUUUGUUUGUGUUCUAGUAUCAGUAAGAGCAGUUUUAACUCCUGUUUAGAGUGAUAAAAAGAAAACUACGUUAUAGAGUUUAAAGAUAUGACGGGAUAGCUCUAAUAAUAUGCUUUCAAGAAAAAAAUAAGUUCACAGGACUCGUUUUCUUGCUAUAUAAUAAAAUAAAUUAAUUCGCAACACAUUCUUUUAUAAAACUUACUUUAUCUGAGUUAUUUUCUUUUUUUUAUAUAUGAGUAACCUCAGUCUCCUCGUGUCGCAAAAGUUGAAAAAAAGUAAUUAUCAAACAAAAUUAUCCUAAUUCCCAAAAAAAAAAAACAGCAAUAAAUAUUAUAAAACAAAGUUUUUUUUAAAGUCUUAUAAAUAUAACUAAAUAUUACUCUCGAAAUUUACACAUUUCCUUAAAGAUCUAGACCGAUUGUUAUCUGCUUUUUCAUAUCCCCAGCUACCUUUCAACCAGUGCUUCAGUAGGUUCAGAAAGUGGAACAUGAGAAAAGCUAACGAGCAGAUUACACAAAUUUACUGCUGAAUUGAAGUUUCAAUAUCUUCUUGCAAGAUGAUAAUAUGUGACCCGCCAUGACAUUUGCAGGCUUAUGGAGGUAGAACGUCAUUGUUAGAAAAUUAUAAACAUGAUAAAUAUCGAGAUUCAAUGAAAUACGUAUUUGUGAAGAAGAGAUAAACACUUUCCUUGGCUUCUUUUUUGCGGACGCCGAACUAUACAUCAUAUAUAAGUUUUGAAGAAGUUUUAUUUUAUCGUUUGAAGUGAAAAAUAUUUGAAUCUAUAUUUUAAAUUGAUACAAAAAAAAAAUCAAAUUUCUGCUCUAUAGAUUCCUUUCAUAAAUGACUCUUCAGAUAAAAUGCAAUAUUCUGUUACGCAACUAAGUAUAUGCCCUUAAACUUUCUUUAAAAUGCACCGCUAUAAAAUGGAGUCAAUAUAAUAAUAAAUGCACCGUAAAAUGCACACCUACUUAAACUGUUACGCUCGCAAUAUGUUAGAGACAUGCAUGAUAAAUCUAAAUUAAAAGACGAAUUUAAAAAAAAAAGGAAUUCUUAAAGCUUACUUUGACAAAUUUUAAACUAACUUCAUUUCAACAAGUUUAAAUUACAAGUUCUAAAAUAGAGCUAAGCAUUGUUUGUGUUGUAGUAAAUUUAAGUCUUUGAAGUUUUAUUCAAAUAAGCUAUUGAACAUUACUAAGAGCCAAUAAAUACAAUAAUUUUGUAUUUUAUUAAUUAGUGCCUUCAAUAAAUAAAAGUCCUCAUAGAACAGUCUCAUUUUCAUACCGGUAUUCGAAAUGACUCGUUUCAUUGCUAUUACAACAAAUAUGUCAUAAUAACAUGACAGAGAGUUUUUGUUUCGGAAUAUUCUAGAUAAAUAUACAAAAAGCAAAUUUUAGACAAUGUACCCUCCUAAGCCUUAAGUGGCUAGUAACAUAGAGUUAACGUCGUUUUUCUCACAAUGACGUUCUAACUCCAUAAGCCUGGAUAUGUCGUGGCUGGUGACAUAUGUGUUUGUAGAGAAAAUGACAAUCCCCAAAAACACCGUAUAUUUGGAGCAAUAAUCUGCCAUGAUAUGAUUGCUUUGAUGAGUCAGUAAUAUGUAACAACCAGCCAGGAUAAUUGAGCAAGCGACCCUCUCCCAUUUCUUUUUUCGAAGUAUUUUGUUAUUCAAAAUUUGGUUUAUGGUAUAAGUACAAUUCGUCUUAAUUGCAAGCAAUCAAUUGUGAAACUUUAUUACUUAUGUUAUUAUUUUAGCAUUUUGUUCAAAUAUUAUGUAAAAUUUACAAGAAAUGUCAGACCAUAUACUACAGUGAUGGUACAGAACUGUGCGGAUUUUAUAUAUGUUUGUCAUUCAGGAGACUUUAACCGAGCUCAAAAUACACUCAUCAUAUAUACCAGGAUGAAAUUUCGUAUUUAAGCCAAAAGCGCGUUUCGUCUCCAAAGACUCAUAAAUGACACUCGAAUAAAAAAAGUUAAAAAGACCAAAUAAAGUUCGAAGUUGGAGAGCUCUGAGGAACAAAAUUCCUAAAAGUUUUGCCUAAUACAGCUAAGGUAAUCAAACAUUCGACACAAUUUACAGCAGUGGAGAAAGUUAUGCAAACAAAGCAUGCAUAUACAUACAACUAAUUCCUAUCACAUUUAAUAUGAAUCGUAGUAUCGACAAUUAAUAUUUCCUUCAGUGAUAGUUGAUUGCAAGCUUUCAAUUCUGUUGCCGAAGUUUCAAUGGAUCGUUGCAUUGAUAAACACAUCACUCAGAAGCACGCGGAGCACAUAAAAAAAUAGAUAAUUGACAGACCAAUUUUAUUGUUUUUAGUAUUUUCCAUACGUUCCCGUUUGUUUCUUACACUUUUCAAUAACAAAUGAUUACUGAUUUGGUGUGUUUAAUUAGUUUUGUUUAGAAUCAAUUAUUGUUUUCCUCACGGUGCUCGUUUGUUUACAUUCUUUUAUCACAGGGUUAAGAUCACUGCAUACGCAUGAUAUGGAACAAUAUCGGCGAAUGUAAAAGUAUGGUAAGAAAACAAUUUAUAAGUAAAACAUUCAUAAAGAUAUUCAAUUUUCUAUACCAAGAAAGUCGAAGUAAUCACAAGCAACACGACGGUAGCCACAUGUGGAGCAGGAUCUGCUUACCCUUCCGGACACCUGAAUCCCCCUAGGUUUUGUUGGGGUUCGUAUUGUUUAUUCUUGAGUUUUCUAUGGUGUGUCAUGUGUACUAUUGUUUGUCUGUUUGUCUUUUUCAUUUUUAACCAUGGCGUUGUCAGUUUAUUUUCGAUUUAUGAGUUUGACUGUGCCUCUGGUAUCUUUCGUUCCUCUCUUGUCUCAUAGUAAACUUAACUUUUCAAAUAUUAAUUAUUUUUUAUUUGAAGUAUCAUAUGACACAAAAUCUAAACAGUAUUUCUUUUGCAUUGUAACAAGCAUACUCUUCAUAGACAUUGUUUUUUUUUUGUUUUUUGUUAUUGCAGUUUUAUGUACAAAGGUUGAUUUUGAUCUUAUGGGUGGUUGCCAUAAGCACAGAAAAUGUGAAUGGCUGCCCAGUGCAAUGUUCGUGUCAUUCGACUACCAAUGGUAGAACUGUACAAUGCCAGACUAAAGCUUUACAAAGUAUUCCGCAAAACCUGCCAAAUGACACCUACCUAAU
rnacentral:lncRNA from 1 species